AGGGGUGGCUCUAAGGAGCACGAGGUUCCUAGGGUGCUCCUGCUAACGCAAGCUCCAGUGGCAGUCUAGCGCCCAGCCACUCCUGGCCCUGGCCGGCUCCCGUAGCCCCAGCUCCCAUGAGCCCCCGCGAACCCUGAUCCCGGUCGCAGGCAGGCACCCACCAACCCAUGCUUCCCACCUGGCGCACAGCUGGGCCCGCUACCCGGAACCCAGGCUUUUCACUCACCCCAGCUCCACGGAAGGUGCCAGGACCCGAGGCCCCCAACCCACUCAGUGGCAGGCCACCCCCUAGACCCAACCUCUGGGCUGGCACAUUCACUCCCCCUACGCGUCUGCUUUCACUAGCCUCUGCUUUUCUUCUUCGCUCCACCUCCGGGUGGAGGUGAAACCAAAGCCGCACCUCCGCAGGGCGCUUUGGUAGCGGAAGAAGCUGGUGCUCAAGCCACUCUUCCUUUGUGUGUGCGAUAUACCCGAACAGUGGAAUAUUAUUCAGCCUGAUAACAGGAGGAAAUUAUCCCGUUUUGUGACAAUACGUUGAGCAACCUGGAGGACAUUGUGCCAAGUGAAUAAGCCAAUUACGGAAGGACAAAUACUGCAUGAUUCCGCUUACAUCAGGAUUCUGACCAAUUUGAAGUGACUUCACUCAUCCAAGACAAGGCAACUUGAUCUGUCCUGUUUCAUACUGUCUUAAGCCUGUAUCGUAUGUCCCAGGGGAAAACAGUUUCCUUACAAAAGUUGGAGCUGAUGACCUGGUACUUGUUUUUAUGGCUUCCUCCUGAGUGUGAACUUCCCUAAUCCCAUGUGCCAAGUGCAGUAAAAAAUAAUGUGAUAAAUAUUUUCAUCUGUCUGGUCUCAGUUGUACUUUGGUGUAUUAUACAAUGUAAUAAGAUUUAUUUUGAAUGGCAUACAUUUUUUGUGGGAUACAAAUCUACCACGUUAAUUUGUAGGGUUGAGUGUAAUGCGUGCAGAGGAAGGAUGGAGGGAGCUUCUGAGAUAAGAUUUCUGAAAGGAGGAGAGAAUUUUAAUUCUCCUCAAUCCAUAGUGUUCCACCCGAAGCUUAUUUAGGACAGUAGCUAAAAUUGAGAGACCUGCAUGCAAAGAUGCCAACUCUAACAGUGAAUGAGGAGGAGAGGGUAGAAUCUGAGGAAUGACAUCUGAGAAAAAUUCAAAAAGAAAAGAGAAGUCAAAUAGGAUAAGGUAAACCAAGAAAAUAUGGUGUUCCAGAAGCCAUGAAGGAGAGGGUUUUGAGAAAGAAGAAAUGAGAGGAUGAGAAUCAAGGGAACUUUUGGAGGAGCAAAAGAGUCUUGAGCUUCUUUACAGGCUAAACAGAAGAAACUGGUAGGGAUAGAGGCAUGGAAGGUACAAGAGCAAAAAGAGGGAGUCCCAAAGGCGGGGGGCAGGGGGAGGCCCACAGGACAGCCAGUGGGAUGGCUACUGCUUCUCUAACUUUCAGCAAUGAUCUUGUCUCCUGCCACACAGAAAGCAUAGAAGACACCAGGUUGGCACUCUGCCUCCUGGCCCCUCACAAAGACACUUAGAAAUGUAUCUUUGUCUAUUCCUCUCCCUUCUUCCUUCCCUUCCAUCUGUGUAGAAGAUGUGUCUCUCGUCACGAACAAGGUUAAUCUCUAUAUGGGUACAUAAAAAUGGGAUUGAUGUAAGCGCCUUGGGCGGCUCAGUCGGUUAAUCCUCCAGCUCUUGAUUUCAGCUCAGGUCAGGAUCUAAUGGUUCCUGAGUUCAAGCCCCAUGUCUGGCCCCAUGUCUGGCUCCACACUGACAUUGCAGAGCCUGCUUGGGAUUCUCUCUUUCUCCCUCUAUCUCUGCCCCUCCCUUGCUCGCAUGCAUGCAUGCUUUCUCUCUCUCAAAAUACGUAAAUAAACUUAAAAAAAAAUAUGACUCGCUAAUGUUUGCCACAUAUAUCACUAUAUGCCUAAGGAACAUAAGAAGUAUGAAUUGACCUCUGAUAUGUUUAGAUAUGUGCAGUAGCAUAUACUUUAUUUGUUUAUUUUUUUAGCUUUAAAGACCUCUUUAUUAUUUUUUUUAAUUCUUUUAGUUUAUUUUUUUAAUUUACAUCCAAGUAAGUUAGCAUAUAGUGCAACAAUGAU